rnacentral:rRNA from 1 species
UACGAAGGGAGCUAGCGUUGUUCGGAAUUACUGGGCGUAAAGGGCGCGUAGGCGGUUUGACAAGUUGGGUGUGAAAGCCCAGGGCUCAACCCUGGAAUUGCACUCAAGACUGUUUUACUUGAAUUAGGUAGAGGUUGGCGGAAUUCCCAGUGUAGAGGUGAAAUUCGUAGAUAUUGGGAAGAACACCCGUGGCGAAGGCGGCCAACUGGACCUACAUUGACGCUGAGGCGCGAAAGCGUGGGGAGCAAACAGG